AGUCUUUAGAAUUCUUGGCCAUCUCAAAAUCCACCAGCUGAGUCUGGUAGCCCCCUUUCUCUCUGAGCCAGAGCUGCUCAGAGUUCAAUCCAAAUCCCUCAAAUCCCCAACCCCCUAAUCCUAAUCCCUCAAAUCCCCAACCCAAUUGCUUCCCCAGUUUGAAUCCCAACCUCCGAUUCAACUCUACCAUCUCCAGUUCACAUUCUAUUGCUACCAAAAUGGCAUUCUGCUAGCCUUUUACAGGUCGUCCUUGUUCGUCUCCGAGACAGCAAUUUACCAACUCUUCAGUUUCUUCUUACAAUUUGCUCUUAUGGCGAUCCGCGUCACCCUCAGUUUUUCCGGCUACGUGGCCCAAAACCUAGCCUCCUCCGCCAGUAUCCGCGUCACCAAUUGCCGCGGAGUCCACGAAUGCUGGGUUAGGUCUCUUCUCUUCGGCACCAACCAGAAGGCCGAUCUCGACCCCUCCGGCUCCGUCCCCAAUUACCAAUCCAAAUUCAGACCUAAGGCUGCUCCGGCCUCCCUCUACAGCGCCCUCGCCGAAGAGUUUCUCGGCAAGAAGGCCAACACUCCUAUUAUGUCCACUCUGAUCUCCGUUUUGAAGUCAACGGCCGCCGUCACCGGUUCGUCUUUGGCGUCUCCGUCUCUUGUUAACGGAAUUUCGCCUGUCAAGCAAGGGACGAUCAUGCCGUUCAUGCAGGCGUCCAAGUGGCUUCCCUGCAACGAGUCUGUUCCGGCCAAAUUGGUGAGCGAGAUGGACAAGAAAGUUGUGCGUGGGGAUGAUGAGGUGUUGGUCUCUGAGGCGGCGGCCUCUGCUGCUGCGUCGGAGUUGAGCAAGAGUGGAUUGCAGAGGAGCGGCUGGUUAUCGCGCCUCUUGAAUUCUUGCUCUGAUGAUGCUAAGGCAGUGUUUACUGCUGUCACCGUCAGCGUUUUGUUCCGGUCUUCCUUGGCCGAGCCGAGGUCCAUUCCUUCCUCCUCUAUGUAUCCUACUCUGGAUGUAGGUGAUCGUGUUUUGGCUGAGAAGGUUUCAUAUUUGUUCAGAAAGCCUGAGGUUUCAGAUAUUGUAAUUUUCAAGGCACCUCCAAUCUUGCAGGAAAUUGGCUUUAGCUCAGGCGAUGUAUUUAUAAAAAGAAUUGUGGCCAAGGCUGGAGAUUAUGUAGAGGUACAUGAUGGGAAAUUGUUGGUGAACGGUGUAAUUCAAAAUGAAAAUUACAUAUUGGAGCCUCUUGCCUAUGAAAUGGAACAAAUUCUCAUUCCAGAAGGCUAUGUCUUUGUGAUGGGGGAUAACCGCAACAACAGUUUUGACUCUCAUAACUGGGGUCCCCUUCCUGUAAAAACAUUCUUGGCAGAUCCGUGUUUCGCUACUGGCCUCCCUCCAAAGUUUCUGACAUUAUGCAUGAACCACAGGUAGAAAAAUCUGUGGCAAUUUCCUGGUGGCGAGUUAACUCGGCGAGAGACUCAGGCAGAUCCUCCUUCAGCUCACGAACACAAAAAAAUUGCAAUUACAAAUUUACAAUGAGCAGACCCAUCUCCGUCCUCCUCUUCCUUUCCCUCCUCCAAUUCCCACUUCAUUUAAUCUUCGCUUUCAAUUCUUCCCUCUUAAACGACUCCCACAUCUUGCAGGACGUAUUGAAGCAAAUCUCGGCCAAGCACAGGUGGGAUUUGCAGAACGUUAGGGUUUCCAGAUUGGAUUCCAGCAAAGUACGCUUCGGCAGUGCCCAGCGCUACGAGUUCCGGAUCGGUUUCGGCAAGUCCCACGUCGUCGUUUUGUUCUCCGACGACGUCGUUUCUUGGAGAAAGUUCCGCAAGCCCAGAACCCAUUUCGCCUCUGUGAUCAAGGAGCUCAGUUCCGUGGCUGCAGUUGACACCUUCACAGUGGAGGGCCCAUUUGAGUUGCGAGUCGAUUCUGACCAUGACCUCUCCCUUUCAUUGCCGAUGAACACUACCUAUAGUAGAGGGUUGAAAAGAGUGCUUGUUGGUGAAGGCAUUACUGUAGAGGUAACAAGAGCAACUGGAGUUUCUGUGUUUCAUGCAUCUGAUCUUGGUUCACCGCUAAACGCAAGUGACACUACUACUGAUAAAGGGAAAAGUGAAUUUUGGCCCUUUUGGCAUUCAUACUGCGCGUCGUUAGUUCCCAUUCGCGUUAUUGGGCCUGCUUCUUUGGUCGCAUACAGGACUAGAAAUCCUGCUGCUCAUAUCGAGACUAAGUUUAUGUCCAAGGAGAUUAUUGAGUUGUUGCCAGAGAAAUGCUUCAGCAGUCAUCGUACAUACAGGAAGCAGAAGCAGAGGCAGUCUAGCCCCAUUGAUUCUUUAUGUUCGAAAAUAACUAUGCUGGAAAGAAUUUGGAAAGGAAAAAUCAAAGCCUCAACCAUUGGUAUUGAAGGAAAAAUCAAAGCCUCAACUAUUGUUCAGUUCAAGCUUCAGCUGGAAAGGGAUUUUAGGAGGAGGGGGAUACUCCGGCAGAACAUUGCGGGAUGGAGGACCAGGCCAGAUGUGGAAAGGGUUUGGUUUGAAGUUUUGGCGAGAGUUGAAUUACAGAGGUUGAGACUGAGGCCUAUCUUGGUUAAGAAGAUAAAGCCCUUCAUUAUUGCAGAUUCAGCUGAAUGGGAUAAUCCGUCAAAUAUGUCCUUUACAAAAUCCCAAUCCAUCCUUGUCGCUCCAGAAGCGCUAACGUUGGAUGUGAAAUGGUAAAGCAAACUUGUUGAUUUGUUGUAUCAUAUUCGUUUUUUGAGGGUUGUUUUACAGAUUAAGGUGGCAAGGCGAUUGUGCCGUCUCCCUUUUUGUUUUCUUGAUGAUGGAUGAAAUAGUACCAUGUCAAUAACACUGUAUUGGUCUUGUAAGUAAAUGAAGAAAAAAAGUUAUAU